AUAAUUUUAAAAGCUCGAGCUCGGUGCUUGACUCCUUGUCAAAUAAAUAUACGGAUCGACAGGAUACGCGGCAUGCGGACGUGGGAACGAAAAUCCGCUUAGAAAUAUAUAGAAUUCUUAGACAUCCUACGGGCAUGAUAUUUUUGAGUAAUUAUAAAUUAAAAAAAAGGUAAAAAGAGAGAAAUCUAAAAUGAAACUAAUUAAGUGUGCCUGCUGCCCCACCCAGAUACCUUCGAUAGCCCAAAUCCCAAUCGCUCUCCAACCAUUUCUCUUCAAAUUUUCCGGUCUAAAACUACUAACUCUAUAUUCAAUCUACCAUUAAAGUCAAAAGGAGCAUAUUGCUCUGGAUCUGCUGAUAAACAUGACCAAAAGCUUAGAUCGGAUCCCAUUCUGCCAGUUUGUACAGUUCAAAUUUGAGAAUUCAUAUUCCAAUGAUUCUUAAACACAACACUACAUGGCUACAAUGGACGUAACCCUCAAUGCUUACCAUUAAUGCUAUUAAUUAUAUCUAUAGGAAGAGAAUUUUGUUUUACAUUCAAAGAAUGAUGGCUUUUCAUAAAACUUAUUUUCAAAUAACUAAAAUUCGUAGAAUUCAUGCCUCUUGUUUUCCUCCCUUCUAUAUCUUUUAGUUAGUGGGCAUUCUUCCAUGGGUUUAACACUAAUAUGACCACAAUUAAACCAUUUGAAAUAGGGCAAAGAGUUUGUAAAGGCUCUUUUUGGAAAGAAAAAGGUUUGGGACCUUUUGUUUUAGAUUUUGAUCCCAAAUCUGUAUAAAUUCUCAGCAAGAUUAGAUAGAUCUAGCAGAAUUCAACUCCACUUUGACCCCCCCAAUGGCUUCUAUCGUGAUUCAACUUAAAUAGCUUAUCAUAUCCUCUUUUAUUGUUAUUGGAUCUGGUUUAGAUUUGGAUCUAAAACUAGAUAACCAAUAACUAUUGUUAUUGGGGUAUUGGAUACUAAAAUCUUAAUCAGCUCCCAUUAUGAUCCAAUAUAAAAUUCCCAUUGAACAAACUUGCCCCUAAUUGACCUCCUUACAUGGCCGAAGAAAUUAGCAAAUGGGAAUGGAACCAGUUGGAUUUCUUCCGCUAGGGUUCCAGAUUCACCUCUCUCACCGUCCGUUGAUCCAGAUUUGGGCGGAAAUGUCGACGAUGGAGCACCUCUUCAUGCAGAUUUUCGAGCGGAAGAACUGGAUCGAGGACCAGCAGGCAGCAGAUCAAGUCCCACGUGCAAUCUCUGGCCUACAACCUCCUCGCCGACGGCGCCCGUCCUCCUCCUUGGCUGUGGGCCAUGGAGUCGGUUGAACCUGGUUGCCCUAAUAUUGAAGGACAACUUGUCCUCUGGGUUACCGGAAGCCACAAGUAUCGUUAAGUACUCAACACUGCUUGAUUUUGUUCAGCACUGGAUUUGGAAAGCCGUCUAUACCUCUCUGAGUACCGCUAACAGUUACGGUCAUUACUCUUCAAAACAUUGUGGUGCUUUGGAUUCAUAGUUUUAUUGUUUUUCAGAAUAAUGCAGGAAUGCAUCGUUGAGAGCUCUGCUGUGCUGUAGCACAGACCAGUGUACCACAGGAUGUGCCUUCUUUUUGGAUUACCUUUUUCCUAGCAUCAAGGUUUUAGGAAAAUGCAACAGAGUUGUGACACCCAUUCUUUAAGUUUGAUGAGUGUGUAGCUAUUGGUGGCUUGCUGCCUUGAGUGAAUCUGCAACGGACGAUGGAGCAUGAUAGAAAUGUGAUCUAAAUGCAUCUGUUAGCCUAGGCCUUCAUCCAGGUGCAAGACACCCAGCUUUGUAUUGAGCCACUUUGUCGCACCAUCUGAGCUAAUAGUAUGAACAUUAUCCUUUUCUGUGCAUGGUGAUCUGUGUCAGGGGUGAAGCCAGACUGACCAGGUUUGUGCCUUAACCAUUCCAUACCAUCGAACGUGACAACCCCCGUAAAAGCCAGAAUAGUGGGUUAGUUGUUGAAGGGGACCACGAAGGGCAACCGAUUGACUUAUACGGUUACUUGCAGCAAGUAUUCUAUAUUAAUGACACUGCAGAGAGACGUGGCAAUUGGAAAGUUGUCCAAAGAUUCAAGCAUCGAGGUAUAUGGGAUGUGCCACAGAUGAGUUAUUUUAGAACCCAAUGAUGUUGAUUUAGGUACUUGUACUAGUUGCAUUGAUCAUACUACAUAAUGAUUUUACUUAUGUUUUUAGGACAAGUUCAAAAUCUCGGAUGAUUAUCAUGGCAAUCUAGUAGCUCAGCAAGCUGUCCACAGAAAAUGCUACAAUAUUCACAGAAAUUAGAGGCACAAUAUGAAAUCGCAUUACAAGCAUCUUAAGAACGUCUUACAUGUGGACCCUUAUAGUCAUCCAUGCGAACAUGUGACUCAAGAGGAUUGGUGCCACUUAAUUGACGAUGUGUGGAAAAGCAAAGAACACAAGAUAACUUAUAUAUUUAGUGCUUCAGAGUUUAUAAGUAAAAUAUUUGAUCAUAAUGUUUUUUUUAGAUUUUUAAUUUAUAUUUUUUUGAAGGUGAGAUCAAAAGCUAGCAAAAAGAAUAGGAAAAAGCUUGAGUACAAUCAUUGUUCAGGAUCUCGGUCAUUUGUUGCAACAAUGACUAUACCGGUAAUAUGUUUUUGAGUAUAUACUGGCUAUAUUUUUAGUGAACUGCCUGUGAAACAGUCUAUGGGAUAGUUUUGGCUAUUGUAAAAUAGACAAUUUGCUGCAAGUAAAUUUUUUAUUCUAGUUUGCUACAGGUAUAUUUUUGGAAUCCUUUUAUGCAAGUAGAUCUGACAGUUAUUCUAGUUUUCUUAUUAUGUAGUGGCUAUAUGCCAAUCUAAAUUACACUUUGCAGUCGGAGUUUAAUGGUUGUGAAAACCUUGAAUUUCCAGAAUUCUAUAUGAAAACUCAUACCAAGAAGAACAAAGAGUGGAUUGAUCCUAUUUGCGCCGUGAAACAUUCAAAGAUGUUGAGCUUGCGAGAAGAAUCUUCCUAAUCCGGUAUGCAUUUAACAUCAGAGGAGAUGUCUAGGCAGGCACUUGGAAAAAGAAAGAGAUACAUUCUUGAAUUUGGGGUUGGGCUGAAGCCAUCUUUAUCUUCUUCCACACCUAGUUGUGUGUCACAAGACCAUGUUGGGAAGUUGCAGAAACUUAAAGCUGAGAUGGAGGAGAUGAAGAUAGAGCGUGAGAUGGAGCGUGAGGAGCUACGGAGGCAAUUGGAGUAGGAGAGGAGAGAGCAUGAGGAGGAAAGGAAAGAGCGAGAGGAAGAACAGAAGCAAAUUGCACAUCAUACAAGUUUGGUGAUAGAGUUCUUAAAGGAAAAGACUCAAACGCACAAGUCAUCUAUCCAUCAUGAUAGGGCCAUGUAUUCAACUGGUGGUACAAAUACUCGUUGAUACAUGGUGGAGUUAUGAGCAUGUGAAAUCUAGUUUUUGGUACAUGGAUGCUUUUGUUCAGAUGAUCAUGGUGGAGUUGUCUACAAGCAGAAUCCAGUUUUUGGUAUAAGAAUAUUUUUGUCUACAUGAUGGUUGUUUGGAUGAAUAGCAAGAUCAGAUAUUUUGAAAUUUUUAAUUUACAUUUUGAUGUGUUUGGUGAUGAUUAUUACCUUAACAUAUGGUAUGGAUGAAAUAUUGUGAUGUAUGGUUAAUAGGUAUGCUUGACUUUAGACUUAUUGAUGAUGAUAUUUAUAAUGAAUGAUUAUGGAUUCUCCAACAUUGUGUA